GAAUUCGCCCUUGGGGAAUUUUCCGCAAUGGGCGAAAGCCUGACGGAGCAAUACCGCGUGAGGGAGGAAGGCUCUUGGGUUGUAAACCUCUUUUCUCAGGGAAGAAGAAAGUGACGGUACCUGAGGAAUAAGCAUCGGCUAACUCCGUGCCAGCAGCCGCGGUAAUACGGAGGAUGCAAGCGUUAUCCGGAAUGAUUGGGCGUAAAGGGUCCGCAGGUGGCAUUGUAAGUCUGCUGUUAAAGAGUCACGCUCAACGUGAUAAAAGCAGUGGAAACUACAAAGCUAGAGUAUGGUCGGGGCAGAGGGAAUUCCUGGUGUAGCGGUGAAAUGCGUAGAUAUCAGGAAGAACAUCGGUGGCGAAGGCGCUCUGCUAGUCCAAAACUGACACUGAGGGACGAAAGCUAGGGGAGCGAAUGGGAUUAGAUACCCCAGUAGUCCUAGCCGUAAACGAUGGAUACUAGGCGUAGCUCGUAUCGACCCGAGCUGUGCCGUAGCUAACGCGUUAAGUAUCCCGCCUGGGGAGUACGCAGGCAACUGUGAAACUCAAAGGAAUUGACGGGGGCCCGCACAAGCGGUGGAGUAUGUGGUUUAAUUCGAUGCAACGCGAAGAACCUUACCAAGGCUUGGCAUGUCACGAAUCCUGUUGAAAGAUAGGAGUGCCUUCGGGAACGUGAA
rnacentral:rRNA from 1 species